AACGAACGCUGGCGGCAUGCCUAACACAUGCAAGUCGAACGGAUGCAGCAAUGCAUCAGUGGCAGACGGGUGAGUGACACGUGGGAAUCUACCCAGUAGCCUGGAAUAACCGCGGGAAACUGCGGCUAAUACCGGAUACGCCCCUCGGGGGAAAGGAGCAAUCCACUAUUGGAGGAGCCCGCGUCCGAUUAGCUAGUUGGUGAGGUAACGGCUCACCAAGGCGAUGAUCGGUAGCUGGUUUGAGAGAACGACCAGCCACACUGGGACUGAGACACGGCCCAGACUCCUACGGGAGGCAGCAGUGGGGAAUAUUGGACAAUGGGGGAAACCCUGAUCCAGCAAUGCCGCGUGGGUGAUGAAGGCCUUCGGGUUGUAAGCCCUUUUGGCGGGGACGAUGAUGACGGUACCCGCAGAAGAAGCCCCGGCUAACUUCGUGCCAGCCGCCGCCGUAA
rnacentral:rRNA from 1 species